GGCAUUGUGGCUCAGUGGUAGAGCGCUCACCUAGCAAGUGCGAGGCCCUCAGUUCAAUCCUCAGCACCA
rnacentral:tRNA from 1 species